rnacentral:misc_RNA from 1 species
AAAGUAAAAGAGAAAAACAUAGAGGGAAUCUUUAAACAUAUCAGAAUAAACACAUUCCAAUGGAACAACCUCCGAGUAUUUCAUUGUACGAGAGGACGGAGGACGACACAAGUGCUUUAGGAGAUGGCAUAGCUAAGCUAUCUCUAGACCAGAUAGACGAUCACCCCACAGAAGUAUCUUUAUUUGAUGAGGAGGAAGAAGAGGAGAAAGUAUCGGAAUCAAAAACGAGUAAAUACGCCUAUUCCGAGAACGCAAACCUUGCUGAAGAAAACGAUUUGCUUAAGAAGCAAAAGAAAAAACAUGUGGACCCUAAGAAAUUUGAACUACGGCCAUAUCAACAAGAGUUAGCAGAGAGGGCCUUAAGGGGAGAUAACUGUGUUAUCAUAGCUCCAACAGGAAGUGGCAAAACACAUGUCGCAAUAAGAAUAAUCCAACAUCACUUAGAAAAACUUGAGCGAGGGAAGAAAAUAGUAUUUAUCGUCGACAAAAACAACCUGGCCAAUCAACAGUCAGAGAGGAUAGAGGAAUAUCUAAAAUGCAGAUUGAAAGUGAUAUCCGGGGACAUCCAGAGAGAAGUGGAAUGUGUACAGGACUGGGACUCGCUAUUACCUCACUACGAUGUUUUCGUGUCCACUGCACAAAUGUUGCUGAACGCUAUUAACGAUCCUGAACAGAAUGUCUGUCUGGAGUCGUUCUGUCUGAUUAUCUUCGACGAAUGCCACCACUGCGGCAGGAAACAUCCAUUUCAACGGAUCGUGGAUAAAUACGUGGACACCAGACUGGAUCGGAACGGUGAUAAAAGUCGGCUCCCACAGGUCGUUGGGUUCACAGCCUCGCUCGGAGUGGGAAAGGUUAAUGCUCUAGACAAUGCAGUGGAACACCUCAAGACGUUCUUAGCCAUCAUGGACGCUGAUUGCUUAGUAACGGUGCAGAGAAAUAAACAGGACUUAGCAACGCAUGUAAACAACCCAAAACAAUACAUCGUUAGUGUUCCUGGUCGACGGAUUGACGAUUUUGGAACCCGGAUUAAAAUACUGAUGAGCAGAACUGAAGACUAUUUGGUAUACACUGGAGUUGGAACGGUUGACAGAAUUGCCAUUAGACCUCCAUCUAUCAAAGGUGAUAUACAGUAUACCAGUUGGUUGGAAGGUACACUUCGAAAAGCACAGGCCAAACUUCAGGAUCCAGAUAUGGCCAGGACACUGUUUACCAUCAGACAAUUAUUAGAGAUUUACAACAAUGCUCUUAUCCACUAUACCCACGCCAGAGCAAUAGAUGCGCUAAAUUUUAUCAAAGAUGAGGUAGAAAAAUUCCCAAAUAUAUCCAAGUAUACAGAGAUUGAAAGAAAAGUUAAAUCAGUAUUAGAGGAUGAGUACAUGACAUUGGAAGCAUCUGCACUGGAUCACGGAAGAACUUCAGAAAACCCACUUCUUGAAAAAUUGAAAGAGAUCAUCAUUUCAACAUACGCGGAGGAGCCCAACAUGAGGGCGAUAGUGUUCGUGAGGACUCGGAUAAUGACCGAGUGUUUGGUGAACUGGAUGGAGGACACCGAGGAAUUAUAGCACAUCAAGGCACAGAAGUACACUGGCGCAAAGGCGUCUAUCUCUGAAGGAGGCAUGGAAAGGCAUGAACAAGUGAGCGCUCUCGAGCUGUUCAGAGAUGGUGAGUAUAAAGUCAUAAUGGCGACCACGGUGGCAGAAGAAGGGCUGGACAUCAAGGAAUGUAACCUUGUCGUCAGAUAUGACUACGCAGGAAGCCCAGUCGCCAUGAUGCAAGCCAGAGGUCGAGGUCGUGCAAAGAACAGUCGGUUCUACAUCCUGGCGUCGGCAGAUAAAUGUGUCGCUGAAAAGGAGCAGGCCAACGUCACCAUAGAGCCGCUAAUGGAGGCAGCCAUGAAACAACUCCAGCGGCUUAUAGAGCUCGAUAGCUACACCUUCCAAGUCCAGAAACAAGGGUGCCAGCGUCAGAUGAAGCGAGAACGCGAGCUGGAAACAUAUCAACAGCAGAGCAAAGUGACUGUUCCAAACUAUAGUAUUUACAAUCUCAGUUGUCUCAAGUGCAAUGCAUUUUUAUGCACUUCAAAUGAUAUACGGAAGAUACUGAAUCACCAUUAUGGCUGCAUCCGGCAAGAUUUGAAAUACAGAGUCGUUUGUACGAGGUUCGAUCAACCAAAGUAUCCGGGUGAAGACAUUGAGAUGGGGGUAGGUCGGGUAGACUGCAGCGGCAGGGGGUGCGGUGUAAAACUUGGAACUAUUGCUCUCUAUGAAGGCAUUUACUUUCCUAUUCUGAAUAUCAAGGCUCUCAAAAUUGCAAAGGGCACAAUGAAGGGAGACACUCUUAAAAAGUGGGGAAUGGUUGAGAAAUAUUUUACGGUGCAGGACAUGACGGAGUAUGAUAUGGAAUACCUUUCCAAAUCCGACAGACUUAUUGAAUGGGCAAAUUAAAGAUGGUCACGUUACGCGAAUCUCAUGGACCUAUUUUAUUCUUGGUAUAAGUAGAUCUCUCACUUCUAUUUUUGAUUUAGAACGAAUUUUUAUACACUUAUAAUGGAAUAUGUACAUGUAUGACUGUUCAUGAUGUUGUGAAUUGUUUAUCUUCCAAUUAUCCAUGUAAAAAAAUAUGGAUAAAAAUAUAAAUUAGAUAAUAAAAAAAUAAAAAUAUG